UUGCCACCACGAACGGCCAUGACUCUAGAGUAGGUUCGCCGGGAGUCGCCAACUUUCAAGUGCCAUCUGAACGACGCUGUACGGAACAAGCUCGAUGGACGGUCGUGGCCCUGCAAGCUCCAUCGGAAUGACGCUGGAUGCAACAGGAUCGCCGGACGGUCGACAACCUGCAUUUGAGCUCGGAAUCGAAUCCGGUCCACGCUCCAAGCUGGCGUCACCAAAGCGGUCCAGAAGCUGUAUCUGAAAAGGCCAUCCAACGGUCCCGAGCCACCUCUUCGACAAUGGUCAAUAUGGACCAACCCUGCUGGGUUGAUCUGGCGAGGCACUUUCGAUUCAAACAGACGAACCAGAAUCAGCAGCAGCAUGUUAAACAUGAGAUAAGUGCAUCCGGAGAAGGACGACGGGGCGGUGGCUGACUUACCGUGACAACAAAUAGAAUUAGCAGACCGGAGGCGACACGCCUCUUUCGGGACAUUACCAUACAGGACUACAUUGGAGGUGUACUUGGAACCGGUGCUGUCGAAGGACAGGUAAAAUGCUCUAAAACCCUGCUCCCGGAAGAGGAAACGUCGUUCUGAUCCGCGAGUAACACGAAUCUGAUGAUGGGGACGAAAAAUAUACAUAAACCUUGGAGUACACCUCCUCUGCCGACGAUCAAAACAUUACGGCAUGUUCAAGAUUCCGUGACCCCGCAACAACAAACACGAUUCUUGCCCGGUGGCGUAUUCUAGUCUGCCGAACUCGCGCUUAAUUACUUAGGGCGAUCUGUUCAACACCGGAACCACCUCUUCGUUGACAGAAGGCCUCGGCAGCCGGAUGAUCAUAUGCUGACAGUGCGAGUCCCACGAAUCGUCACUCCCGAACGGUCACCUAAACCAAAAUGAUCCACCACCGUCGGAGUGUCCACCUUCGUCGGGACCGAUUAACGACGGCCGAGACAAUCGUGGAAUGCGAAACAACAGUGGUGGCGGAAGCGGAUACACCAGUAUAAUACCGAGCUUCGUCUCGGGCGACAGCAGCGGCGGUACGAAUCAUCAUCAAUCGCACGGAUCAAACUAUUCGUGACUCGUACGGAGGAGGCUGUCGCGGACAAACGCAACCUCUAAGGUUGGCCACCCGGCAUCAGCGAAACCAGCACCGGGAUCACGACGAUCAUCGGCGGAACUCCGGACGGCGGAAAUUGUCAGCAACACUCCGGCUCUGCUCUGCUCCGUCACCGGAUACGACACUUCAUGAAGAGAUGACCAUCUAGCCGCCGAACUGAACCAGCAAUGUCAUAGGAUCCGCCGAAAGCUUGAGGUCACCAUGGAGUGCAAAAAACCGGUUGCCGGUGCUGAUCAAGAACGUCCGCAGUGGCUUGUCCAACUCGAAAAGAAGCAGCGCAUGCUGCAGCCGCACUCCGGCCUCCGGUUGUUCUUUACGUUGAACAUCAAACGGUCAACCUGCUGCGAUGGAUCGACCAGGCCAUCGAAACGAAGAAACCAAAUAAGGCGAAACCGACCACGCUGGUCGUCGGUCCAACCAACGGUCCAAGAGCCAAGGAACUGUCGGUGUCGUUUUGCAGAACACCACGACUUCGUGUCUUGCAAAAUACUUCCGUUUCACCCAAUGCGGCACCUGUCGCCUCCCGGCACAUGGCACCGUUUACGAUAAUCGAGAAUCUAAUAAGGACAGAAGCGGUGCAUCGUGCAGGAGUACCGGAAGCUGGAACGACCCAAUCAUGUGUCAAAAAAUGCUCCGGUGACCCGACCAACUACACCCUCUACCAUCACUUGAAAGCCAGCAGGCCUACAAUGAUGAUUCCAACCACAGAAAAACCUGAACCCCGGCUUUCAGAAAGAACCAGCCUCACCGCUCAACGCACCUGUCGCCGUUCCAGACACUCCUCGAUGCACAACUCGGCGGCUCGGAGAAGAACCACAUGACAUUGAAAUCGAACCGGACUCCUACUCAGCUGGUCUAAAACGUUGCCGCAAUGGCCCGUCCUCACCGGGACCGAGAACGACAAUGGUGGCUCAUGGCCAGGCCACCUCGAAUAAGACGCAGGAGCAGUCUGCGGAAGCGGAAUCGGU